UGCUGACUGGCCUUUGCCCUUCUGCUCAGGGGUCCAGGGAGCCAGGGGAGACGCUGCCAAGGAAGCUGAAACA
ensembl:snoRNA